ACUGAGUCUUGAAGAGGUUGCAGCUGGUCUUAUCAGGCAAGUGCUCGCCUCGUUCAAAUCCACUCUACACCUGUGCACUUACUGUGGACUUUGGUAUUUUUGGAGGGUCCUUUGGCCCUUUAUGAAUCCGGGUUCAUGUUUUAUUAUAUAUACGCUUCAGUAUUGAGAAUGUGUAUUGUGAUGUAACGCAUCGUUAU
rnacentral:misc_RNA from 1 species